GUGGGGAAUUUUGGACAAUGGGCGAAAGCCUGAUGCAGCAACGCCGCGUGAAGGAUGAAGGCCUUUGGGUCGUAAACUUCUGUCCUUGGGGAAGAAAAAAAUGACGGUACCCCUGGAGGAAGUCCCGGCUAACUACGUGCCAGAAGCCGCGGUAAUACGUAGGGGGCGAGCGUUAUCCGGAAUUAUUGGGCGUAAAGAGUACGUAGGUGGUUUUUUAAGCGAAGGGUUUAAGGCGAUGGCUCAACUGUCGUUCGCCCUGUGAACUGGAUGACUUGAGUACAGGAGAGGAAAGCAGAAUUCCUAGUGUAGCGGUGAAAUGCAUAGAUAUUAGGAGGAACACCAGUGGCGAAGGCGGCUUUCUGGACUGUAACUGACACUGAGGUACGAAGGCGUGGGGAGCAAACAGGAUUAGAAACCCGGGUAGUCC
rnacentral:rRNA from 1 species